rnacentral:rRNA from 1 species
GACGAACGCUGGCGGCGUGCUUAACACAUGCAAGUCGAACGGAAAGGCCCUGCUUGCAGGGUACUCGAGUGGCGAACGGGUGAGUAACACGUGGGUGAUCUGCCCUGCACUUCGGGAUAAGCCUGGGAAACUGGGUCUAAUACGGGAUAGGGGCCAUUUUUAGUGGGAUGGUUGGAAAGUUUUUUCGGGGUAGGAUGAGCUCGCGGCUUAUCAGCUUGUUGGUGGGGUAAUGGCCUACCAAGGCGGCGACGGGUAGCCGGCCUGAGAGGGUGGACGGCCACAUUGGGACUGAGAUACGGCCCAGACUCCUACGGGAGGCAGCAGUGGGGAAUAUUGCACAAUGGGCGCAAGCCUGAUGCAGCGACGCCGCGUGGGGGAUGACGGCCUUCGGGUUGUAAACUCCUUUCGCUAGGGACGAAGCUUUUUGUGACGGUACCUAGAGAAGAAGCACCGGCUAACUACGUG